UCUAGGUUUCAUCCCCAAAGUCAUUUUUAUGUAAGAAGUACUACUUUACACAUCAAGGACCUUCACCUAUACACAUACCUAUUUGGUUUUCUCCCUCCAGCCCAAUUUUUUCAUCUGUAAAUGAGGAAUAACUACAGUAUCUACCUACUUCAUAAAGUUACUAUGAAGAUUUAAUGUUCAGUACUUAGAAUGGUGGCUGUGACAAAGUAGGCACCAUGACUUACUUUUUCACUUGUGGCACACAGUUUGAUAUCUGGUAUACACUAAGUUCUCUAUACAUAAUCGUUGAAGAAUGAACAGGUGAACAAAUGGGUAAAAAUUUAAUUCUCAACUAAAAAGAUAAAGUGUUUCAAGGAAAUGUGCCACCUGUCCUCCUGAGUCAUAAGAUAACCUACCAGCUCCACAUCAGAGGUCACUGAUUUCUGGAGAGUCAGUAGAAAUUGAAAUUAACUAAUUUCAUUCUAUAACUGGAGACUUUCCCCAAGAAGUAUUAAAAACAACUACAACAAUAUGAUUUAGUUUGAGACCCUCUGUGCCUAUAAUUGAGAUUUGUUACAAAUGCUAACAUUAACCCAGAGCUACAGACUAUAAGUAAUACCCUUUUUAAGAAACUCCAUAGUUUUGAGAAGAAUAUAAUAGUGUCAUUAUUCUUAUUGCCUUAUCAAGGCUGUGUAGCACUUCAUGUACUUGACAAACUUGUUUGUUUACAGAUUAUUAACUACUCCAACUGAGGUGAUGUAUACAUGAAAAAAAAAACAAACUCUAAAGCAAUGCUUGGCUAGAAUGCACGGUUAACCAACAGUGGCUCAAAACAGACUAUACCUAGUUAUUUAACUCAUUCAGAAAAAGAUUUACAUUAAAAAAAAAAUCCCAUUAUUACUAUGAAUUUUUGUUUAAGCCUGGCCCAAUAAACUCAGGACAAAUCACCUUCUGAUGCUAGAAAACUGAAUCAAAUGUCAAUCUAUAUUAAAAUUCUCUUCUCAGUUAUUAAUACUUAUUUGAAUCACUAUCAUCAACACUGGUCAACAGAAAUAAUGUGAGCCACAUACAUAAAUAAAUUAAAAUCUUCUAACAGCCACUUUUAAAAAAGUAAAAAAGAAACGGGUGAAAUUAAUUUUGAAAAUAUACUUUGUUUAACUCAAUAUAUCCAAAAUAUGAUCAUGUCAAUAUGCAAUCAGUGUUAAAAAUUGAGAUAUUUUACAUUCUUUUUUUUUCCUGCACUAAAUCUUCAAAAUUUGGUGUGUAUUUUACAAUUAAAUCAUGUCUUAAUGCUGACCAGUUGCAUCUGAAAGCCCCCAAAGCUAGUAGCUAUUGUACUAGCUGGUGGCUACUAAACUGGAAACCACAGCAGUAGAUAAUUCACAGAGAAUUCUUCAUGUCUAGGAAAACUGCCUUUGUAUCUAGGAAAACUGGUUUCAGAUUUUUUUUUGUUAGUUAAAAGUGACUAUUGUUAACUCCUUUUGCAGUAACAUCCCAAUUAACUUUCCCAAAGAUAAAGCAGGAGUAGAUUUAAGUACAAGAGCCCAAAACUCAGUGAAUUCUUUAGAAGGCAGCUUUAUCAGCCUAAAACUAUUUCUGAUGAGGAAGUCAAAAUAGGUAUAUCUCCCCUUCCCACUCUAGAAGAAAGGUACAGACUUCCCUUGAUGCCUCCUCUUCAUUAAUUUCUUCUUUACCCAUCUAGGAGACCCUAGUUUUCUGACUCACAAAGUGGCUAAAGCAAAAAUAUCUGACAUGUUUCUUUUCUGAGAUACAUAUAUUGUCGCCAGGAACCUGACCUUAGUCGUGACAGUAUUCAGGGUUGUCUGCAGAACUUCAACACCCACUGCACAGAAAGGGCUGGGGAAAGUCUUCCAAGAGAGAAAGGUUUCUGAUUAUCUGGAGCUUAGUAAGAGGCGGAUUCUCAGAUAAGGGCAGAGUUACGUGGUCGGCUUUUUCAAUCUCACUCUGCUGGAUCUGCAAACCUGAUUUAAUUCUGUGAUAUACCUUUAGGGAUGCAGUGCAAAGGGAAGUCUCCCUUACAACCUAGCCAGCAGCUGUAUCCAUUCUUCCCAAAGUACCUCUCCAGUCUGGAGGACCAACUAAUUCUGGAUCACAAUGUUGGAACAUGACAUGGACCUAGGAGGAGGGCAGCUGGUCUGUCAGAAAGAGAAGUUCUUCCUCCACUUAAAGGAAGUGGGGAAGAAUGGGGGAAAGAAAAAAAAAAGGCAGCAUGCAGCAGAGGUAGCCAGACUUACAAGAGGAAGAUGAAAUGAGUGGUUAAGAAGUGUGUACACACACGUGCACGCGCACACACAUACACACGAGUCACUGCUUUUGUUUCUAGUUACAAGACAGGCCAAUACAUGAGUCUGUUUAGUGACCUAUGCCAGAGAAUGGUAUUGAGAAAGCUCCUUAGAUAUGCCAGUGAGGUUGCCUUGGAGGUAAUGACAGCAAAGGGGAUUGGAAUAAUGAAUGAGCAGCAAGGAGAGGUAUAAUCUAUCUCCUGUAUAAUUUACAAAACAAUUUUUUCUCCUGACAACAUAAAGCCAAUACAAUAUUCAAAAUAAAUGAGCCUAUGUAGCUCUGAUGGUAUCAAUAUUAAGUCUCAAGCUCAUAUUUGAUGCCAAGGAAUAAGUGCUCAGGGACUAUGUAGACAUUAAAUUUCAAACAAUUUUACCUUUAAGGUCCAAUUUAAGACACGCCAGACCUAGCUUGGACUAUUCAUUCUCUCAAGUCUCAGUCAUUAAUAUUAUAACAAGUUUUAAACAACAGGUGGAAGAGUUUCUUAUCUCUCUUUUGAUAGGAUAAAAGGGUGGCAUGAGUGUGUGCAUGGAUAGUGGGGAGAAAAAAGAAACUGGAGAAAGGUGCAUAACAUGCAAACAUAGUAUGGUGAAAUUUAACUAAGGAAAUCAUCUAUUGCAUGCUGAAGAUCUAGAUUCUGUUUACUCCUCUGGGUAUUUGAGUAGGCAAGGGUGGAUCCUUCUCAAACAUUCAAUCAGUAUUUACUAACCACAUGCCACAUCUAAGGUAUUUUGCAAGGUGCAAGCCACCACAAUGCAACCACUCAGCAGAGGCCCACAAAGGAGAGCCUCUAUUCUUGGGUAGGAUAUAAUCUACCAUCUGCAGUUCUUUAGUGAAAUAGCUAGAUACAUUUAUUUAUGGUCAGGUGGCUUUCAAAUCAUCCCUAUCAGAGGAGGGUGCAGCUCUCCAGGGAAUGUGGGAACUUAAAAAAAUAAAUGCUCUGUGUGGCUGAUGAGAAGAAAAAGUAAGAAUAAACUGUAAACUCUAUUUAUUCUUUAGGAUAUUCUUAAAACACAGAGAUAAUUUAUCAAAAGGUAUAGUGUAAGACAUUAAAAUAUGCAGGACAAUUUGAAGCAACAAAUGCAAAGUUCAAGUCAAACACAUUAUAUUAAGUAACCAAGAGUAAGAUGAAUAUGGAUCUGUUCUCCAAAUCCUAGAAUACUAGGAACAGCAGUAUUAAAUCUUAAUUCUUGAAGGAAAGUUUAAGGAAUGGGAGAAGUGGCCAUAUCGUACAGUGGAAGGAGAACGGGGCUGAGGAAAACAAUCUGUAUCUUGGUUCUGCCUCCUCCUUCAGGUGAGUAUGCAACAUGUGAAAAGCUGAAAAUGUUUCUAAGCCUUAAGUUUACUGUUUAUGUAAAAGGAAGCUGGAGUGCUAGCUCUUACAGCCUAUGGGUUAUCAUAUGAAUCAUUUUUAGAAACUAAGUAGUUAGGACUUGGGAGAGGGAAAUGGCAACCCACUCCAGUGUUCUUGCCUGGAGAAUCCCAGGGACGGGGGAGCCUGGUGGGCUGCAGUCUAUGGGGUCGCACAGAGUCGGACACGACUGAAGCGACUUAGCAGCAGCAGCAGCAGUUAGGACUUGGGAAAGAAGAAAACGUAGGAAAGAGACUAACUGAACCAAUAUUUCAGCUGUAAAUUCUACUGCUGACUAAAGUGGUUUGAUCUUAAAGAGAAACAAAAUAGCAAGACUGCGGCUAGGGUUAAACUUUCCUAAGAUCAAACAUGAGAUGAACAAGGUACCUAUUCUUACUAUCCAAGAAAUAUCAUACUAGAAUGCUUUCACAUCAGUAUUCCCACCCAUCCCUUCUCCCCUGACGCUGGAGCACCAUAGAAACAUUCGGAUAGAAUUCCCGCAGGUAAAAAGGAUCCUUUCCAGUGGCUGUGCCAGGGGAUAUGUAAGUCUUCACAGUCACC